UACGUAGGGUGCAGGCGUUAAUCGGAAUUACUGGGCGUAAAGCGUGCGCAGGCGGUUUGCUAAGAGAGAUGUGAAAUCCCCGGGCUUAACCUGGGAACUGCGUUUCUAACUGGCAGGCUUGAGUGUGGCAGAGGGGGGUGGAAUUCCACGUGUAGCAGUGAAAUGCGUAGAGAUGUGGAGGAACACCGAUGGCGAAGGCAGCCCCCUGGGCUAACACUGACGCUCAUGCACGAAAGCGUGGGGAGCGAACAGG
rnacentral:rRNA from 1 species